AUUGAACGCUGGCGGCAGGCCUAACACAUGCAAGUCGAGCGAGCGGCGGACGGGUGAGUAAUGUAUGGGGACUGCCCGAUAGAGGGGGAUAACUACUGGAAACGGUAGCUAAUCCCGCAUACUAUCGGAUAACCCAUAUGGGAUUAGCUAGUAGGUGAGGUAAUGGCUCCACUAGGCGACGAUCCCUAGCUGGUCUGAGAGGAUGAUCCGCCACACUGAGACUGAGCCACGGCCCUGAUGCCUACGGAGGCAGCAGUGGGGAAUAAUGCACAAUGGGCGAAAGCCUGAUGCAGCCAUGCCGCGUGUAUGAAGAAGGCCCUAGGGUUGUAAAGUACUUUCAGUCGGUAGGCGUUACCGACAGAAGAAGCACCGGCUAACUCCGUGUCAGGAGCCGCGGUAAUAC
rnacentral:rRNA from 1 species